GACGAACGCUGGCGGCGUGCUUAACACAUGCAAGUCGAACGGAAAGGCCCUGCUUUUGUGGGGUUCUCGAGUGGCGAACGGGGGAGUAACACGUGAGUAACCUGCCCUUGACUUUGGGAUAACUUCAGGAAACUGGGGCUAAUAUCGGAUAGGAGCUUCUGCUGCAUGGUGGGGGUUGGAAAGUUUCGGCGGUUGGGGAUGGACUCGCGGCUUAUCAGCUGGUUUGUGGGGUAGGGGCUUACCAAGGCUUUGACGGGUAGCCGGCCUGAGAGGGUGAACGGCCACAUUGGGACUGAGAUACGGACCAGACUCCUACGGGAGGCAGUAGUGGGGAAUCUUGCACAAUGGGCGGGAGCCUGAUGCAGAAACGCUGCGUGCGGGAUGACGGCCUUCGGGUUGUAAACCGCUUUCGCCUGUGACGAAGCGUGAGUGACGGUAAUGGGUAAAGAAGCACCGGCUAACUACGUG
rnacentral:rRNA from 1 species